UGGGGAAUUUUGGACAAUGGGCGCAAGCCUGAUCCAGCCAUGCCGCGUGCGGGAAGAAGGCCUUCGGGUUGUAAACCGCUUUUGUCAGGGAAGAAAUCUUCUGAGUUAAUACCCUCGGGAGGAUGACGGUACCUGAAGAAUAAGCACCGGCUAACUACGUGCCAGCAGCCGCGGUAAUACGUAGGGUGCAAGCGUUAAUCGGAAUUACUGGGCGUAAAGCGUGCGCAGGCGGUUUUGUAAGACAGAGGUGAAAUCCCCGGGCUCAACCUGGGAACUGCCUUUGUGACUGCAAGGCUUGAGUGCGGCAGAGGGGGAUGGAAUUCCGCGUGUAGCAGUGAAAUGCGUAGAUAUGCGGAGGAACACCGAUGGCGAAGGCAAUCCCCUGGGCCUGCACUGACGCUCAUGCACGAAAGCGUGGGGAGCAAAACAGGAUUAGAUACCCUGGUAGUCCACGCCCUAAACGAUGUCAACUGGUUGUUGGGAAGGUUCCUUCUCAGUAACGUAGCUAACGCGUGAAGUUGACCGCUGGGAGUACGGCCGCAAGGUUGAAACUCAAAUGAAUUGAC
rnacentral:rRNA from 1 species